AAGUCGUAACAAGGUUUCCGUAGGUGAACCUGCGGAGGGAUCAUUACAGAGUUGAAAAACUCCAACCCCUGUGAACCUACCUUUACUGUUGCUUCGGCGGAUUAUGGCCUCCGGGCCGGACGCCGCCGGAGGUUACAAACCCUGAAUUUUGGUGCAUCUCUGAGUACUAAACCAAAUAAUUAAAACUUUCAACAACGGAUCUCUUGGUUCUG
rnacentral:misc_RNA from 1 species